rnacentral:rRNA from 1 species
UACGGAGGGAGCUAGCGUUGUUCGGAAUUACUGGGCGUAAAGCGCACGUAGGCGGCUUUGUAAGUUAGAGGUGAAAGCCCGGGGCUCAACUCCGGAACUGCCUUUAAGACUGCAUCGCUUGAAUCCAGGAGAGGUGAGUGGAAUUCCGAGUGUAGAGGUGAAAUUCGUAGAUACUCGCAAGAACACCAGUGGCGAAGGCGGCUCACUGGCCCGUAACUGACGCUGAGGCACGAAAGCGUGGGGAGCAAACAGG